AGAAAAACAGAUUUCACCAUCCUCGGCUCAAAGAUCCACAUACAGUACCUGGAGUUAUAAAAAGGCAGAAUAUCCAUGUCCAAAUAUGUGCAUCCUCAAACAGCAGCAAUGUACCCCUCUGAGCAAGACAUUUCUGAGGAUGACAAAGCUACAUAGCACGACCUAAGAAAACACUGAAUUCAGGACAUUGGAUUCAGGUUUAUUAGGUACUUUAUUUACUUUCAUCUUGCACAGCAGGCCACUCAAAAGGCAAUCUCCUUCCAGUGACAACUGUGUGACCUCAUAGUGCUGAGGAAGCAAAGGAAAGUAGUUUUGGCCUGCCGUGGCUUACAAGGGGAUCCUGUAUUUAAUUUAUUUCCG